UCAAAAAAAAAUAUCAUGAUUUUAAAAUUAAAAAGUAAAAAAAAAGUACUAGAUGCAAAAAAAAAAUAUUUUUAACGCCGUCAGCAAAACACUAAACCCUAAACGCUAAAUCCAAAACCCUAAACCCUUGGGUAAACCGUAAACCCUUAUUUAAUGUUUUUGAUUUAGGGUUUAGGAUUUAUCUAAGGUCUAUGGUUUACUUAAGGGUUUAAGGUUUAUUCAAGGGUUUA
rnacentral:lncRNA from 1 species